rnacentral:rRNA from 1 species
GAUGAACGCUGGCGGCGUGCCUAAUACAUGCAAGUCGAGCGAACGGACGAGAAGCUUGCUUCUCUGAUGUUAGCGGCGGACGGGUGAGUAACACGUGGAUAACCUACCUAUAAGACUGGGAUAACUUCGGGAAACCGUAGCUAAUACCGGAUAAUAUUUUGAACCGCAUGGUUCAAAAGUGAAAGACGGUCUUGCUGUCACUUAUAGAUGGAUCCGCGCUGCAUUAGCUAGUUGGUAAGGUAACGGCUUACCAAGGCAACGAUGCAUAGCCGACCUGAGAGGGUGAUCGGCCACACUGGAACUGAGACACGGUCCAGACUCCUACGGGAGGCAGCAGUAGGGAAUCUUCCGCAAUGGGCGAAAGCCUGACGGAGCAACGCCGCGUGAGUGAUGAAGGUCUUCGGAUCGUAAAACUCUGUUAUUAGGGAAGAACAUAUGUGUAAGUAGCUAUGCACAUCUUGACGGUACCUAAUCAGAAAGCCACGGCUAACUACGUG